AGCUCGCGACGAUCGUAGGAAAUGGGUAACGAGUUAGUAUAUGGCCUCAUUUUUCUUCGACUCGAUCUAAGCUCUUCUCUUCUCUCUUUCUCUCUCUCACUCACUCACUCUCUCUCUCUCUCUCUCUCUUUCGUUCUCUUCUAUCAGUGUAAUACACGACAAGUUAUCGUGAAUAUACGCGACGAACGUAAGAUCGCGUUCUAUGCGUAAAACGCACGACGGUGGUCCGAUUACGCAACGUUGAAGCUUCUGCCAUCCACGGAGCAAACAAACGAACUGAUCCUUUACCAGAGCCUUCGCACGUUCGACUAAAUAAAGGACGAAGUUAUACAUAACUUACGUACAAGAAAGUGAAGCUAUGAAAAAUGGACCUACCUUAUUACGACUCCGGUUCAGACGGUUCAGCCUUGACCGACAGGUAGGAGCGGAGAGAACGAAGUAAGGUAGAUAGUUCUUCCUGCGAAAGUUCGAAGGUUCAUGAAAAAAAAAAAAAAAAGAAAGAAAA